rnacentral:rRNA from 1 species
UUCAACGGAGAGUUUGAUCCUGGCUCAGGACGAACGCUGGCGGCGUGCUUAACACAUGCAAGUCGAGCGGUAAGGCCUUUCGGGGUACACGAGCGGCGAACGGGUGAGUAACACGUGGGUGAUCUGCCCUGCACUUCGGGAUAAGCCUGGGAAACUGGGUCUAAUACCGGAUAUGACCUCCUAUCGCAUGGUGGGUGGUGGAAAGAUUUAUCGGUGCAGGAUGGGCCCGCGGCCUAUCAGCUUGUUGGUGGGGUAAUGGCCUACCAAGGCGACGACGGGUAGCCGACCUGAGAGG